UGGGGAAUAUUGCACAAUGGGGGAAACCCUGAUGCAGCAACGCCGCGUGAGUGAAGAAGUAUUUCGGUAUGUAAAGCUCUAUCAGCAGGGAAGAUAAUGACGGUACCUGACUAAGAAGCUCCGGCUAAAUACGUGCCAGCAGCCGCGGUAAUACGUAUGGAGCAAGCGUUAUCCGGAUUUACUGGGUGUAAAGGGUGCGUAGGUGGCAGUGCAAGUCAGAUGUGAAAGGCCGGGGCUCAACCCCGGAGCUGCAUUUGAAACUGCAUAGCUAGAGUAGGGGAGAGGAAAGUGGAAUUCCUGGUGUAGAGGUGAAAUUCGUAGAUAUCAGGAGGAACACCGGUGGCGAAGGCGACUUUCUGGCCCUAUACUGACGCUGAGACGCGAGAGCGUGGGUAGCAAACA
rnacentral:rRNA from 1 species